UUUAUACAUCGGAUCUCAGCUUUUCCUUGGCAGCAGAUGGUUUUCCAAUUCAGCGAUUGGCAGAACAAAGCAGCCUGGUACUUCUGAAUGUGCUUCCACUGAGUAAUAUGAUCAAGCGUCCGCUUGAGGGAAACAAACAUUUUCGUGACGACUUCAACUUAAGAAGUAUGCAACUGAUUUAUCUGGUUGUCUCAGUCGAAAAGAUGCCGAAAUCUUUUUGAGACUAAGCAGGAUCUUCAAAUCAGAUGAAAUCAUGAUCACAGACAGAAAAAGAAAUGGCUAAGGUUCCCCCAGGAUUGAUUAACCCAGUGACUCAACCACCAGUUCUAUAUUUUUAAGGAAAUAACUGGCCCAACUCCAAAUGGGAACGUUGGCCGAGGCGUCACAUCUUCCCUCCCCAAGGAAGAGGCGGUAACACUGAGCAACUCUACCGUUGGUGUGCAGUGAACUCUCACGGCCCUGGAACUCGGAUUGCGCACAUCAAGGCACACUGGUCGUUCUCACCCAGACACAGGAUGCGGCUUAUCAACCUCUAUCUGCAUGUGUUUUGCUGGUAGACUGGAUGCAUGCACUCGUUUAGUCUUUUCAUAUGUCUGAAUCGAACUUCCCGUGUCAGCAAACCACAGCUUAUGGCAACAGGUUGACUGAGCAGCACCUGUGCUAACGGUUUGAUAGCACAGCGUGCCUCAGACUUUCACACCUUCUACUGUUUUUAUUGUCGAACCUGUUCCCAUAUAUAUAUAUAUUAGCCUGCAUGUUUACCAGUGCACUAAAGGCUGAUUUUCCUAACUUUUGACAUCCUAUUGUAUGUUGAAAUGAAAACAAAUCUGUGUGAUGAGGCUGUUUCUAGACCCAGAAAACAAUUAUAGACUGACAUAUUUUGUCUCUGAUAGGGUAUGGGAAUCUGGUAACAGGACCAUGCACUGCAGAUGAAGCUUGAUCUGGUGCAUGCACGAGUUUCAGAAUUGCCACCUGUGUGUGUUUGUGCUUUGACCAAAGCCACAGCAAUAUCCUCAUUGUUGUAGCAACAGUUUUGAGAAAAAGCAUCUACAGACUGAGUGAAAAUCAUCUUCCCUUCUGCUUCACUGCUAUAAACAUGUUCGUCAGAGUCAGUAAAACAGACCUUAGUGAAAUGUGAGAACAUCCUCUUUCAUUUAUAUGAAACCAUAUCCACCUUACUGGGCCGUAGAUGAGAUAUAUGUGAAGACAAACAGAAAUGCUGAUUACAGCACCACAUUAAGUUUAACAAAAACUAUACCAUAAGCGACAAUGACAAUGGAUUAAAAAUUUUUGCUGUCAGGAUAAAUGGACUGCAACUAAAUCUGUUAUGUACAAGAUAUAUUUUUCAUUGACUGUGUUUUUUCAUAGCAUUCAACUUUGUGUGCUCAGUUUUUGUUCUUUGAUGAAACUUUGCUCAAGUGUUACUGAGAGAAAAAAAACGACAAAAAAAAAAAAAAAACUUUACUGGCUGCUGAGGAGAUUUGAAUAAAAUCUUGAUAAAGCCUC